rnacentral:rRNA from 1 species
UACGUAGGGUGCGAGCGUUGUCCGGAAUUAUUGGGCGUAAAGAGCUUGUAGGCGGUUUGUCGCGUCUGCUGUGAAAAUCCGAGGCUCAACCUCGGACUUGCAGUGGGUACGGGCAGACUAGAGUGUGGUAGGGGAGGCUGGAAUUCCUGGUGUAGCGGUGGAAUGCGCAGAUAUCAGGAGGAACACCGAUGGCGAAGGCAGAUCUCUGGGCCGUAACUGACGCUGAGGAGCGAAAGCAUGGGGAGCGAACAGG